rnacentral:rRNA from 1 species
GACGUAGGGGGCCCGCGUUGUUCGGAAUUACUGGGUGUAAAGGGUUCGUAGGCGGUGCGGCAAGUUGGGAGUGAAAUCUCUGGGCUUAACCCAGAGGCUGCUUCCAAAACUGCUGUGCUUGAGUGUGGGAGAGGCGCGUGGAAUUGCAGGUGUAGCGGUGAAAUGCGUAGAUAUCUGCAGGAACACCCGUGGCGAAAGCGGCGCGCUGGACCACUACUGACGCUGAGGCACGAAGGCCAGGGGAGCAAACGGG